rnacentral:rRNA from 1 species
AGAGUUUGAUCCUGGCUCAGGACGAACGCUGGCGGCGCGCUUAACACAUGCAAGUCGAGCGAGAACCUGGGCUUCGGCCCAGGGGACAGCGGCGAACGGGUGAGUAACACGUGGGUAAUCAACCCCCGACACCGGGAUAGCCCGGGGAAACCCGGAUUAAUACCGGAUGUCCCGUCCGGCCUUCGGGCCGGCCGGAAAAGGUAGCUUCGGCCUCCGGUCGGGGACGAGCCCGCGGCGGAUUAGCUUGUUGGUGGGGUAACGGCCCACCAAGGCGACGAUCCGUAGCUGGUCUGAGAGGACGAUCAGCCACACUGGGACUGAGACACGGCCCAGACUCCUACGGGAGGCAGCAGUGGGGAAUCUUGCGCAAUGGGCGAAAGCCUGACGCAGCGACGCCGCGUGAGGGAAGAAGGCCUUCGGGUUGUAAACCUCUUUCAGGAGGGACGAAGCCACUCGGGUUAAUAGCCCAGAGGGUGACGGUACCUCCAGAAGAAGCCCCGGCUAACUACGUGCCAGCAGCCGCGGUAAUACGUAGGGGGCAAGCGUUGUCCGGAUUUAUUGGGCGUAAAGAGCGUGUAGGCGGCCAGACAGGUCUGCUGUGAAAACUCGAGGCUCAACCUCGAGAUGUCGGUGGAAACCGUUUGGCUAGAGUCCGGAAGAGGAGAGUGGAAUUCCCGGUGUAGCGGUGAAAUGCGCAGAUAUCGGGAAGAACACCCGUGGCGAAGGCGGCUCUCUGGGACGGUACUGACGCUGAGACGCGAAAGCGUGGGGAGCGAACAGGAUUAGAUACCCUGGUAGUCCACGCCGUAAACGAUGGGCACUAGGUGUGGGAGGUGUCGACUCCUCC